CCUACGGGAGGCAGCAGUAGGGAAUAUUGCUCAAUGGGGGAAACCCUGAAGCAGCAACGCCGCGUGGAGGAUGAAGGUUCUCGGAGUGUUAACCCCUUUUGUUAGAGAAGAUAAUGACGGUAUCUAACGAAUAAUCACCGGCUAACUCCGUGCCAGCAGCCGCGGUAAUACGGCGGGUGCAAGCGUUAUUCGGAAGCACUGGGCGUAAAGGGCGCGUAGGCGGGUUAGCAAGUCAGAUGUGAAAUCCUAUGGCUUAACCAUAGAACUGCAUUUGAAACUGUUAUUCUAGAGUAUUGGAGAGGUAGGUGGAAUUCUUGGUGUAGAGGUAAAAUCCGUAGAGAUCAAGAGGAAUACUCAUUGCGAAGGCGGCCUGCUAGAACGUAACUGACGCUGAUGCGCGAAAGCGUAGGGAGCAAACAGGAUUAGAUACCCUUGUAGUC
rnacentral:rRNA from 1 species